UAUUUAUUUACUUUUUGCUGCAGGUUUUUCAUCAUGAGGGUCUGUAGCACAAGAGAUUUCAGUGCCUCCAGCCACACAGAACAAAACCCUUGUAUCCUGCAGCAGUGACCGGCAGUCAGCAAUGGCAUGGGGCUCAGAUGUUUGCAGAAUGCACUCCUGCAAGGUGUCCACCAGGAUAUUUGUUGUUACAGGCAAAUAAACAAUGGGUAACAGGAAAUGUCCUUUGGAUAAGGCAGCCCGGUGAUGUAUGACUGUGAAAGGAAGAGAAGACAAGGCUGGUAGUUUAAACAGAGAUGUUACAGACUGCUGAGUUACCUGUUCUGGGAAGUGCUGCCAUUUGCCUGCUAGAAAUCAAAGCUGAAAAAACAUUGGGUGAGCCAAACAAGUACUGAGUAACAAAUGCUUGCUUUCACGGGGCAUUUAAAGAUGUGGUGCCAGUCCCACUGCAAGAUCAUGAGUUUCCAUGAUUAUGAUGAUAAAAUGGAUUCAUCAGAAGACACAGUACGUUGGAGAAGGAGUGUAGCACAGUGGCAUUUCUUUCCCUCUACUUCAUGGCUUCAGAAUUCAUGGAGGGAGCACUCCUUUGAAAAGAAAGCUUCAUUUGCCCUUCUUCUUGUAUUCCAGUAUUACUACUGUAUCUCCUGUUCAGAGGCAGAGGGGAACAAAUUGCUAAUCAGAGGCACAAAUAGAAAAGUUAAUGUAUAUGUGAAGCAUGUUAACAUAGUGAUAGACCAGAAUCAGCCCCUGGAGUCUCAGCACUCCUGAAGUUGAGUGGGGUUGGCACAAGGGUGAGAGUUGAAUUGUGUAGUUUGG
rnacentral:lncRNA from 1 species